rnacentral:rRNA from 1 species
GACGAACGCUGGCGGCGUGCUUAACACAUGCAAGUCGAACGGAAAGGCCCUGCUUUUGUGGGUUUCUCGAGUGGCGAACGGGUGAGUAACACGUGUGUAUCCUGCCCUUGACUUUGGGAUAACUUCACGAAACUGGGGCUAAUAUCGGAUAGGAGAUCCUGCUGCAUGGUGGGGGUUGGAAAGUUUCGGCGGUUGGGGAUGGACUAGCGGCUUAUGAGCUUGUUGGUGGGGUAGUGGAUUACCAAGGUUGUGACGGGUAGCCGGCAUGGGAGGGUGACCGGGGACAAUGGUACUGAGGUAGGGACCAGACUCCUACGGUCGGCAACAGUGGAAAAUAUUGCACAGUGGGCGGGAGCCUGAUGCAACGACGCCGCGUGCGUAAUGCCGGCCUUCGGGGUGAGAACCGCUGUCGCCUGUGACGAAGCGGGAGUGACGGUAAUGGAUAAAGAAGCACCGGCUAACUACGUG